CAGUGGCGAACGGGUGAGUAACACGUGGGCAAUCUGCCCUGCACUCUGGGACAAGCCCUGGAAACGGGGUCUAAUACCGGAUACGACCUUCCUCUGCAUGGGGGUUGGUGGAAAGCUCCGGCGGUGCAGGAUGAGCCCGCGGCCUAUCAGCUUGUUGGUGGGGUAAUGGCCUACCAAGGCGACGACGGGUAGCCGGCCUGAGAGGGCGACCGGCCACACUGGGACUGAGACACGGCCCAGACUCCUACGGGAGGCAGCAGUGGGGAAUAUUGCACAAUGGGCGAAAGCCUGAUGCAGCGACGCCGCGUGAGGGAUGACGGCCUUCGGGUUGUAAACCUCUUUCAGCAGGGAAGAAGCGAAAGUGACGGUACCUGCAGAAGAAGCACCGGCUAACUACGUGCCAGCAGCCGCGGUAAUACGUAGGGUGCGAGCGUUGUCCGGAAUUAUUGGGCGUAAAGAGCUCGUAGGCGGCCUGUUGCGUCGGUUGUGAAAGCCCGGGGCUUAACCCCGGGUCUGCAGUCGAUACGGGCAGGCUAGAGUUCGGUAGGGGAGAUCGGAAUUCCU
rnacentral:rRNA from 3 species